rnacentral:rRNA from 1 species
UCGAGAAUUUUUCACAAUGGGGGAAACCCUGAUGGAGCGACGCCGCGUGGGGGAUGAAUGGCUUCGGCCCGUAAACCCCUGUCAUUUGCGAGCAAAGCGCAUUAUUUAAAAGAUGAUGUGUUGAUAGUAGCGGAAGAGGAAGGGACGGCUAACUCUGUGCCAGCAGCCGCGGUAAUACAGAGGUCCCGAGCGUUGUUCGGAUUCACUGGGCGUAAAGGGUGCGUAGGUGGUGAGGUGUGUCGGAUGUGAAAUCUCGGAGCUCAACUCCGAAACUGCAUUGGAAACUACCUUGCUGGAGGGUUGGAGGGGGGACUGGAAUACUUGGUGUAGCAGUGAAAUGCGUAGAUAUCAAGUGGAACACCAGUGGCGAAGGCGAGUCCCUGGACAACUCCUGACACUGAGGCACGAAAGCUAGGGGAGCAAACAG